UGGAGAGUUUGAUCCUGGCUCAGGACGAACGCUGGCGGCGUGCCUAAUACAUGCAAGUCGAGCGGACCAAAUCGGAGCUUGCUCUGRUUUGGUCAGCGGCGGACGGGUGAGUAACACGUGGGCAACCUGCCCGCAAGACCGGGAUAACUCCGGGAAACCGGAGCUAAUACCGGAUAACACCGAAGACCGCAUGGUCUUUGGUUGAAAGGCGGCCUUUGGCUGUCACUUGCGGAUGGGCCCGCGGCGCAUUAGCUAGUUGGUGAGGUAACGGCUCACCAAGGCGACGAUGCGUAGCCGGCCUGAGAGGGUGACCGGCCACACUGGGACUGAGACACGGCCCAGACUCCUACGGGAGGCAGCAGUAGGGAAUCUUCCGCAAUGGGCGAAAGCCUGACGGAGCGACGCCGCGUGAGCGAAGAAGGCCUUCGGGUCGUAAAGCUCUGUUGUGAGGGACGAAGGAGCGCCGUUCGAAGAGGGCGGCGCGGUGACGGUACCUCACGAGGAAGCCCCGGCUAACUACGUGCCAGCAGCCGCGGUA
rnacentral:rRNA from 1 species